rnacentral:ncRNA from 2 species
AUGAUGGCAUAGGGAGAGACUGUCUCACAGGAAGACAGCGCCGAAGGAGUAAGCCCGGGAGGGUGAAUCUCUCAGGCAAAAGGACCUUUGCCGGACG